AUUGAACGCUGGCGGCAUGCCUUACACAUGCAAGUCGAACGGUAACAGGGAGCUUGCUCCGCUGACGAGUGGCGAACGGGUGAGUAAUGUAUCGGAACGUACCUUUCAGUGGGGGAUAACGUAGCGAAAGUUACGAUAAUACCGCAUAUUCUAUGAGGAGGAAAGAAGGGGAACUUCGGGCCUUGCGCUGAUUGAGCGGCUGAUAUCAGAUUAGCUAGUUGGUGAGGUAAAGGCUCACCAAGGCGACGAUCUGUAGCGGGUCUGAGAGGAUGAUCCGCCACACUGGAACUGAGACACGGUCCAGACUCCUACGGGAGGCAGCAGUGGGGAAUUUUGGACAAUGGGGGCAACCCUGAUCCAGCCAUGCCGCGUGAGUGAAGAAGGCCUUCGGGUUGUAAAGCUCUUUCGGCCGGGAAAAAAUCGCAUGGGCUAAUACCCUGUGUGGAUGAUGGUACCGGAAUAAGAAGCACCGGCUAACUACGUGCCAGCCGCCGCCGUAA
rnacentral:rRNA from 1 species